CAGUAGCCGCGGUAAUACGUAGGGUGCAAGCGUUAAUCGGAAUUACUGGGCGUAAAGCGUGCGCAGGCGGUUUGUUAAGACAGAUGUGAAAUCCCCGGGCUUAACCUGGGAACUGCAUUUGUGACUGGCAAGCUAGAGUCUGGCAGAGGGGGGUGGAAUUCCGCGUGUAGCAGUGAAAUGCGUAGAUAUGCGGAGGAACACCGAUGGCGAAGGCAGCCCCCUGGGCCAACACUGACGCUCAUGCACGAAAGCGUGGGGAGCAAACAGGAUUAGAUACCCCAGUAGUCCCUGUCUCUUAUAC
rnacentral:rRNA from 1 species